rnacentral:rRNA from 1 species
AAUGAACGCUGGCGGCGUGCUUAACACAUGCAAGUCGCACGAGAACGCUUCAGCUUGCUGAAGCUAGUAAAGUGGCGCACGGGUGAGUAACGCGUGGGUAAUCUAUCUCUGAAUUGGGGAUAACAUUGCGAAAGCGAUGCUAAUACCGGAUGAUAUCCAUUAAACCUCGGUUUUUUGGAUCAAAGGUGGCCUCUACAUGUAAGCUACUGUUUGGAGACGAGCCCGCGUACCAUUAGCUUGUUGGUAGGGUAACGGCUUACCAAGGCAACGAUGGUUAGCUGGUCUGAGAGGAUGAUCAGCCACACUGGAACUGACACACGGUCCAGACUCCUACGGGAGGCAGCAGUGAGGAACUUUGCGCAAGGGGGGAAACCCUGACGCAGCAACGCCGCGUGAGUGAUGAAGGCUUUCGGGUCGUAAAGCUCUGUCAAGUGGGAAGAACCCGCGCCGCACAAAUAGUGCGGGGCGCUGACGGUACCACUGAAGGAAGCACCGGCUAACUCCGUGCCAGCAGCCGCGGUAAUACGGGGGGUGCAAGCGUUAUUCGGAAUCAUUGGGCGUAAAGAGCGCGUAGGCGGUCUUCUAUGUCAGGUGUGAAAGCCCGGGGCUCAACCCCGGAAGUGCACUUGAAACUG